CACCGUUACAAUGUGUUGCUCAGAGACGCAAUGACUUUAGCUGUUGUUUCCUGUGGAAUGGCAGAGCAAAAAUAACUUUUUUAUCGCCCUGAAAAGAGUGUCAAGAUUUGCACAACCCCUCGGAAGCCUGGCAUGAGAUUAAGCUCUUGACAACCUUGAGAUAGCUCUCCCUUCACCAGCAUUCCCAGGAGAGAGCCAUUGUCAGAGCCAUGGUACCAUUGUUGCUUUUGAGUCUUGAAUAGGCAGCCUGGGCCGUCUGAAAAAGACAAGUGCACAUCAGGUUAACACACGCCACGUGUCUCUGAGGUCUGGGUGAGGUGGACACUUCAGAAGCUCAUAGUACUGCAGUUUCGGGUCGAAGUGUUCGUCACUUCUCACCAGCACAUGCGCUACGCCUAUGUCCUACAUCAUCCACCCGGAAGGGCACUCUUUUGUGAACGCGCGUACGAUAGCAGAGGUUAGAGAAAACUUUCUAACGUUUUAAAUAUAUAUUUAAUAUUUUUCUUACAAAAAUGUAUCGAUUCACUACAGGAGGCCUUUACUGUAAGGCACUGAUUACUAUUGAUGGAUGUGCUUUAUUGGACUUCUUUUGGACUGUUGAACGAAAACACCUGCCCACUGCCAUUAUAAAGCUUGGAAGAGCCAGGACUUUUUUUUUAAUGUAACUCUGAUUGGAUUCGUCUGAAAGAAACAAGUCAUAUACACCUAGGAUGCCUUGAGGGUGAGUAAAUCAUGGGCUAAAUUGAAGGCUUCUCUUUUAAGGCUGUUUAAACCAAACGUGGCAGAGCGAAUGUUCUUUCACUCCAUUUGUUCUAUUAACAGACUCAAGCAUGUGGACUGUGUUAGAAAUCAAACGCGCAUCUGUAUACUGUAUCCAGUGUAGACGAUGUCGGCAGAGAUUGUAAUUUCUGUUUGCUUUUGAUGCAACGUGACAUUUCCAUUCAGUGUGAUCAAGUGUCAGCCGUUAAGCGAGUGAACGCCAGUGGGCGGGGCCUAUGGUGAGAAGAAGACUAUUCAUCAUUGUCUUGCUCUGGGGGCAGUGUUUAUGCAAACGACUACGUCUAGGUGACGUCACUUUGUACCUCGAAUCCAAAACAAGCCGUUUUUGGAGCUAAAUUAAAUGCUUUGUUUAUAAUGAGGAGGGCAUUUUAAGCUAAGUAACGUUUGCAAGAGGUUUUAAUGGUACAAAGACCUCUUACAUGCUAAAAGAUCAAGGCAAAUUUGAUUUCUCAUGUCAUGAUGCCUUUAAAAAAAACGAUCCAGCUGGCGCCGAUAGCAUAGGCAGCAUGUCAACAUAUAUUGCAACUGCGCCUCCAGCAACACGAGAUUGAUUCCCUGCUUGAGGUCCUUUGCCGAUCCUAUUGCCCUCUCUCAGCCCCACGCUCUCCAGUCCAGUAAAAGCAUAUUAUUCAUUUCACUUUCAAGGAGGCAUAUUUUACCUGGUCAAGAAACAUCACAGGUUCUAAACUGACAAAGCUCAAAACUUCCUGUCCAAAUAGGAUCAACGCAAGCAGUCUCGCAUCAUCUAUCCAUAUAUAUAUAUAUAUAUAUAUAAGGACAGAUGUCGCAAAUGGUGACUCAAAAGCUCCUUUGACUUUUUAAAGCAGUUUCAGUAUGACUUUGACUCCACUUUCUUUCCCGAGGUGAGCUGCUAAUCUAUGCAGGUGAUGUCACAGUGUGGGGAAGACUUUCAUUUAAUGCUGAAUCAGAGGAGACAGCGAGGGAAACCUCUUCAUGUUUGCCUGGUCUAAAUGUGGACAUCCUCCCCGGCAAGCGAGCGGCUGAUUCAUACUGCUGUUUAAACGCAGUGCUCCAGCAAAUAUUACGCCACUGAAAGUGGGCUGCGGUGUAUUUUUGAACACUCAUCACGAACACUCAUCACGAAUGCUCGCGUGAAUACACAUUUAAAGUCCAUGCUUUCUUUGAGCACGUUACCAGAUUCUCAUGGGGGCGCUGCAUCUGUUGAGAGAAAAACUGAUCCAUAUUUGCUUCCAGCAACAGUUCAAAAACAAAGAGUGGAAUUUCUCCUCGUUAAAAUUUCAGGCCUGUAUACAAACAAAAUGACAAGAGUGCCAUUGGCCCCUAAAAGGAAAUAUGUUUAGGAGCCAAAUAACUCCUUUUUCAAACUUUUUUUUUUUUUAGUUGUCAGAUUAUAGACUCACUUUAUAAAGAUGGCCGUUCAGAAAUGUCUGUACAUUAAUUUACUUGAUACAGACACUAGCGUGCUGCACUAGUUGUAUUUAAUAUCAAAUUCUGUGACUGACUUUACUUAUGUAAUGUACUAUAUACUAUUGUAGUAUUUACUAUUCCUUUGAUUUUAAAUAAUUUAUAAUCAUUUGAUUUUUGAAGUUUUAGUCAUUUUUAAACAUGCCAGACAGAUUUAAAUCUCACAAAGAUUUAGAACAUAUCACAGCAAGUUUCCAGUUCAUUUCUAAUCAACGUAACUAGUUAAUUGUGAACUACCGAAUUAUUCAGAGUCCGAUUUAAAUGUUAACUAGCAAACAAGAUUACGGACUGUUUCAUGAAUCUUUUUGACGGACUCAAAAAAAAAAGGAAAAAAAAAAAAGCAGCAGUUCAUUUUCACUUUCCUGUUCAUCAGGGCCAUUAGAUUUUAAAUCAUUUUCAUUUAUAUUUCUUAAUGCAUUCGCA